rnacentral:sRNA from 1 species
AUUCCGGAGUCGGAGAGCUGUGAAAGCGGCCCCCGAGGCGGAGCCUCCCUCCCGCCCCAAGUCCCGCUGCCCCCGACCUGGGGGAGAGGGGCGGGCGCCGCGCUGCCUUCCCUCCGCGCCUGGGCCGCGUGGCUUGCGGCUUAUUUUCCCAGCUGGCAAGCUUCGCGCUGCAGACAAGGGAAUGCCUGUGGUCCUGCGUGUUCCGAAGUUCAGGGGCCCCCUGAUCCCGCUGAGCCCCCUCCAGGAGCGGAAGGGUUAAGAAUGAUGAAGGGAAAUGUCAAAGAAACUAGAACACCUGAGCCUC